GUAGGGGGCAAGCGUUAUCCGGAUUUACUGGGUGUAAAGGGAGCGUAGGCGGCGAUUUAAGUCAGAUGUGAAAACUCAGGGCUCAACCUUGAGACUGCAUCUGAAACUGAGUUGCUAGAGUGCAGGAGAGGAAAGCGGAAGUCCGAGUGUAGCGGUGAAAUGCGUAGAUAUUAGGAGGAACACCAGUGGCGAAGGCGGCUUGCUGGACGAUGACUGACGUUGAGGCUCGAAUGCGUGGGGAGCAAACAGGAUUAGAUACCCUGGUAGUCCACGCCGUAAACGAUGACUGCUAGGUGUCGGGUGGCAAAGCCAUUCGGUGCCGCAGCUAACGCAAUAAGCAGUCCACCUGGGGAGU
rnacentral:rRNA from 1 species